GCUUAAGGUGGUGAAAAAACAUGCAGACACACUGAUACACACACACAUUCACAUGCAUCACACACCACACUAAAAUCCUCUGUCUGCAAGAUGCUGAAUAUGCAGAACACACACUUAACCACCCAACUGUAACACAUGAUUAUAACCAGAUGUGAAACUAACACUGGUAGUUUGUGGUUUCCUCAUAACUUCCUCCCUGUCAGGAGACGGCGCCCUGCAUCAGCUACUUCACAACCAGAGAAUACACUCCACUUAUUGAAUGGAACUGUGUUGGUAGUGUUUUGCCUUAUUAGUGUGGUAUUCACCUGUCUGUGAGGGACAAGUAGUACCUGCGAGGGACGGACGUAUUCCUGCUGUGUGGGACAAGUAUUCCUGUCGUGAGAAACAAGUAUCCCUGUCUGUGAGAAACAAUAUUCACGUGUCUGUGAGACAAUUUUCACCUGUCCGGAUGGGGACAGGUAUCACCUGUCUGUGAGGGACGGGAACAGGAUUCACCUCUCUGUGUGGGACAGGUAUUCACCUGUCUGUGAGGGACAGGUAUUUCACCGUCUGGUGAGGGACGGGACAGGUAUUCACCUCUCGGUGUGGGACAGUAUCACCUGUCUGUGUGGGACAGGUUCACCUGUCUGUGAGGGACAGUAUUCACUCUCUGUGUGUCUCCCUCCAGGAGAGGGACAGGUAUUCACCUCUGCUGUGUGUUCUCCUCAGGAGAGGGAACAGGUAUUCACCGGUCUGUGAGGGACAGGUAUCAAUCUCUGUGUGUUCUCCCUCAGGAGAGGACGGUAUUCACCGGUCUGUGAGGGACAGGUAUUCACCUCUCUGUGUGUUCUCCCUCCAGGAGAGGGGCCAGGUAUUUACCUCUCUGUGUGUUCUCCCUCCAGGAGAGGGACAGGUAUUCACCUCUGUCGUGUGUUCUCCCCCCAGGAGAUGGGACGGUAUUCACCGGUCUGUGGAGGGACAGGUAUCACCCUCAAUGUGUGUUCUCCCUCCAGGAGAGGGACAGGUAUUCACCUCAUGUGUGUUCUCCUCCCUCCAGGAGAGGACAGGUAUCACCUCUGUGUGUUCUCCCUCCAGGAGGGGAUGUAUUACCUCUCUGUUGUUCUCCUCCAGGAGAGGGACAGGUAUUCACCUCUCUGUGUGUCUCCUCCAGGAGAGGGACAGGUAUCACCUCAAUGUGUGUUCUCCUCCAGGAGAGGACAGGUAUUCACCUCUCUGUGCUUCUCCCUCGGAGGAGGGACAGGUAUUACCUCUCUGUGUGUUUCCCCUCCCGGAGAGGGACAGGUAUUCACCUCUCUGUGUGUUCUCCUCCGGAGAGGGACAGGUAAUUACCUCUCUGUGUGUUCUUCCCUCCAGGAGAGGGACAGUGUAUUCACCUCUCUGUGUGUUCUCCCUCCAGAGAGGGACAGGUAUUUACCAUCCUGUGUGUUCUCCCUCCAGGAGAGGGACAGGUACUUCAUCUAUCGUGUGUUCUCCCUCUAGGAGAGGGACAGUAUUCAUCUCUCUGUGUGUUCUCCCUCCAGGAGAGGGACAGGUAUUUACCAUCUCUGUGUGUUCUCCCUCCAGGAGAGGGACAGGUAUGCCUACAAGAUCCACCUGCCAGAGACGGUGGAGCAGCUGAGGAAGUUUAAUUUAAUGCAAGGAGGAAGCUCAAGGGGGCAGUGUUGGCUGCUGUCUCCAGCCACAAGUUUAACUCCUUCUACGGAGACCCACCAGAGGAGAUGCCAGACUUCUCUGAAGACCCCACCUCCAGUAACCCGCCCCUCUCCCCUUCUGUUUGCCUUCCCACGUACAACACCCAUGCCGAGCUGUGUCAGGGGAACGGAUGUCACGGCAACAAUCGCCACGUGUUUGUGUUCCUAGCUCAUUGUCCCACGGGCAGUCCGAAGCACACCCCUGACGA
ensembl:lncRNA